UUGAGCACUUACUAGGAGCCUAAGUGUUUUACCCAAAUUCUUUUUAAAUUUUUUUUCCCUUCAAAACACCACAAAGUUAGCAUCUUUUCCAUUGUACAGAUAAAGAAAGAAACCCAUGAAAAACAUGGGAGAAAACACUGAAGACAAAAGACCAGACUUUUUGUUCUGUUCUUCCCCUGAUUCGAGCUUGCUGGUCUAGUUCUGUAACUCCUUACGGCCACAUUUCUCCUCAUCUAUCACCUGUGAAGAGUAACAUCUGUCCUGUUUGCUGUGCAGGCUCCUCGUGGGAUCAGAUGAGACUGAGUGGGGAAGAACUUUUCAGACUCAUGAAGUAGUGUCCUGAGUCGGGGAAUCAUUUCUGCCUGUGUUAUUCCUGGUCAGGGAAGGCAGCCGCACUAAAUAGCCUGCAAGUGCAUCCUUAACCAAACGCCCCAUGAUAAGGACCACAGAGAAGUUGUUGGAUAGAGAGGAGCUAGUUUGCAUCGCAGAAGAGAGACUGCGUCCUGAAAAUCAUUUGAGAAAGUAAAGAAACAGAAAAAAAAAAUCUCAAAAUUGUAUUGCUGAGACAGGGCCAAGCUGGGAAACCUUUGGGAUACAUUUGUUGCUCUUGAGAACUCUUAGAAGGCUUGAAAAUGAGAGCCAGGUGGAGGAAAAGAGAGAAAAGCCACGAACGAUGAGCAGAGAGAAAGAAGAGGCACAAAAUCACAAAUUCAGGGAAAGCAAACACAGAGAUACAGAAAAGCAUUUUUAAAUCCAUUCAAAAACUGACCAGAGAUUCUAAGAUAGGACUGGAUGUUUGCAAAACACAACAGCUGCUGCAUUCCACAGUCUACAAGAGAAAGAGUGGAAACUUUCUUUUCUCUUUUCCAACAAGACAUAACAAAGGCAGAGCUGAUGUAAUUAAUGAAAAAAAGAUGGCUAUUUGAAACAGUGAAGGCACUGAACAACAGAAUGGAAUGGAAAUGAGGUUCACAUUUAGGGACAAUUCAUUAUUUACCCACUGUGCUUUUUUUUAUGCACACUGCGUUCUGCUAAUAUUCCUCUCUCCAGGGAUAAUACCAGACCAGGUUGGUGAGCUGUGCAAGCAUGAGUAGUUAGAGACUGUGAUGGAAGGAGUGGGUGCAUGGAGUUGGUCCUUGAAUAUCAAUUAGCAUAGUCCAUCCAGCCUGAAGACUCUUACAAUUGAAUAUUUCAACUUAAUGGAUCUGUUUUCAAAUUCCCUUUAAUGGCCCUUCUGUGACCAUAAUAUCUACUUUUCCAGACAUCCUAAGUAGAAACCAUUAUGGACAAUGUAUGUAGAAUCCCCCAAGGAUGGCAUAUGGAGGAGAGAAUGCGGAUUGCCAAAUUUAGCAGCUCUGGAGAGAGUGUUUUUGAAUUGAACUUGAGUCUACAGGGAUUACCGUUCAUUUAUGACUGGCAAAACAUAUCUUCCCAAUUCUGAAAGAUAAAUCCCACUGAUAUACAUGUGGAUUUCACAAGUGUUUCUCAAAAACAGAAAGAAAGAAAGAAAGAAAGAAAGAAAGAAAGAAAGAAAGAAAGAAAGAAAGAAAGAAAGAAAGAAAGAAAAUCCUUUUUACGAAAUGCAGAAGUUCCGUAACUUUUAGAAUUAUGAUGUCACAUGUUCUUUUGGCAGUGUUUUUACUGCUAGAUAGGGGAUCUUGUGAGUACUGUACCACCUGAGGAAACGUGGUUCAGAAGAUUCAUCCCUGAGACAUAGGGUUUGAUGAUUUUUUUGAAAAAUGUAAACUGGCGGACUGGCAGGGCAAUAACUACACUCUGGUAUUUUAAAGAAACAUUUGGUAUUUUUAAGUAACAUUUCAAAUGUAGUGGAAGGAGGAAACCAAAGCAUUGUCAUUUUUUUCUCUUUUGCCGGGUUAAAUCAAACCAUGAACUCCAAGAAACCUUGAAGAUCGUUUUUGGGUUUUGUUUUGUUUUUUUGACAUUGUCUUGUGUUGAUAUCUAGUAAUGAAGAGUCUGCAAAAGGAGAAUUAAGAAUGCUUAUUAUUCAGCGAUUUUUGGUGCCUUGAUUCCAGCUUUGACAUUCACAAGAUAUGUCCCCUCUGUGAAUUAAUGUUCCCUCCCAACUAUGAUCAGAGCAAAUUUGAAGAACAUGUUGAAAGUCACUGGAAGGUGUGCCCAAUGUGCAGCGAGCAGUUCCCUCCUGACUAUGACCAACAGGGCUUUGAAAGGCAUGUGCAAGCCCAUUUUGACCAGAAUGUUUUAAAUUUUGACUAGUUACUUUUUCUUACGAGUUAAUAAUACAAUUUAGCAAUUAAAAAAAAAAUCACCUC